GUGAUUGAAAGGGCAUUUCGUAGUUCGUAUGUAAUAUUGUUGAUAAGAUAUAUACAUAUUUUUCUAAAAUCAACUAACAAUAAAAGCGUUCUAAGGAGUGGAUAUAUGUGGUAAAACACAUUGAAUUUAUAAAUAUAUUCUGCUAAUACAAAAUUAUCCAGUUUUGUUUUACUAUUUCCAUUAAAGAAUAUAAAUCAUUAAAAGGGAUUUCGUAAACUAGGAUUGGGUUAACCCGAUCAUGAUAUGAAUGUUCGGAAACUAACCCACAUUGUUCGGAAACUGACCGAGUUAAUCGUACAUUGUGAUAUGAUACUUUAUACCCUGAUAGACAGUGGAAAGAUCCUGGCAGAAUAAUUUGUACAGCCUAAAAAUACUACAUCCUCCAAAAUCGUGCUCUCUGAAAACGUAUAGAUACUAAGCUUUUGAAUAAAUAAAAGGUUAAUUGCGUUAUUUGAAUUUGUACCAUCUAAAUAUGUCUAAUUCUCUAUUUGCAUUCCGUUAAAAUGAUUUUUGUGGGCGGAUCAGCUGCUCCAAUUGUCUUUCAUCUUCAAUUUUAAAAAAAAUAUUUGCUUUGUUCUCAUUUGUACUACCUUUUUUUGCCCAGAGGUGAGGUGGAAGCUAAUGCCUUCCUCACAACGGGCGGGUGCAAAUGCUAUGAGUUUGUGUGGGACUCUUACCUACUAAAUCACCCUCCUCAAUCCUUGGGAGUGUCGUACGCCGGGAGGACAACAAAUUGUCAUUGCAUCAGCGUACAACACUUAAUCCUUUGGAUUUUUGAGCUGUUUCUUAGCUUCACUCCUCUCCACCAGUCCGUCAAGACGGCACAAGAAAAGAGAAAGUUACUGAGCCACUCCAUCAACUUCAAGGUCUUACAGCUCCCAGGAGUGGUCAUUUGUACUACCUAAAAAUUAAAAUCAACUAAUUUGAACCUUUAGGUAAAGUGAAGAAAACAUAUAAGUAACGCGCGAUCUAAAAUAUUAUAAUCCUAACUGAAAAAAAUUAGAUUACAAUGAAAAAACCUUUGACCUAAUUUUCAUUUGUACUACCUGAAUUUUUUUUAUUUGCACCCUUAAGAAUACACAGAAAAGUAUUUUGCUAGGAUAGACCACUAAACAUACCCUAAGAUAUGGUGUGUUCUGUGGGAUAGACGGAGAAGGAUAUUUAAAUAAGUAGUCUAAGAGUUUUAUGUGGUUGAUUUGAUCUAUGGUUCGACUCGUUUCGUAUUCUGUUAUUCUGCAUUCAAUUUUCAGUACAUUUUUGGCAGGGUCUGUGUACUGGAAUAGGAGAAUCUCAGGACGAUUUUCAACACCAUUUCUGUUACUGGCUCACAUCUAAAAGCUUACUUUUUGGUGUUUUAUUUUUGAAUGUUUGUCAAUAUGGAUUCUGAAACUAAGUUGCAAUCAUGUAUCGAGAAAUAACCAAGAUUAUUGAAUUAACAACAUCCAUCUUGCAAACGUGUAUAAAAUCUUUACAAAGGUGUUUAAUAUUAUUUAUUUAUUAGCUAUUUGCAUUUUUGUGCAUUUAAAAGUUAUUAUUUGUUGCGAAUUGUUCUGUCGUGUUUACUUAGUCAAUAUGAGUAAACGAGUAAAGGCCUGCUGAGUACCAGGAUGCGAUAAGACAUUCCAUUCCUGCGAAUGAAGAAGUUUGCAGAAUUUGGUUGCAAAGAAUAAAUAACCCCAAGUUAAUGCGUGCAGAUACAGUAUUAUCAUCACAUAGAAUAUGUGAUAAUCAUUUUGAACCAAUUUGUAGAAACCCCAAUGGCAGGUUAAAAACCUUUCACUGCCAACUCUACAAUUACAUAGUAUUAUUACUAAAAUUUUGAGGGGCAAAGAUCAAAAAUAUAAAGACUAUGAUGUUGUGAUGAAUAUGACAUAUGUUAAAUAUAGUGAAAGUAGCAAGGAAGACAAUGGUCAUACAUUGUAUGUACCAUGUACAAACAGAAACAUUUUUUAAAUAUUCCAAUAUCUCACUGUUAACAGUCCUAAGCCUGCUAAAGUGUGAAGGAAAAUCUUUUGUUUGUGGAUGUAGUUAUAAAAUGUCAAAAACAAAAUAAAAAUUAUAAUAAUCA